ACAUACCUACAACAUAGCAUUAAUUCAUCAUUUCUCAUUAGAACUUUGCAGUUAAGUGUGCUCAGGAUAGAGUAGUACUAGGAUGUGUUAGCGCUAGAAGUCACUCUUGGAUUGCU
rnacentral:rRNA from 1 species